rnacentral:tRNA from 1 species
GUUUUUAUAGUUGAAUUACAA